rnacentral:rRNA from 1 species
UACGUAGGGGGCAAGCGUUGUCCGGAUUUAUUGGGCGUAAAGAGCGUGUAGGCGGCCAGGUAGGUCUGCUGUGAAAACUCGAGGCUUAACCUCGAGCUGUCGGCGGAAACCAUCUGGCUAGAGUCCGGAAGAGGAGAAUGGAAUUUCCGGUGUAGCGGUGAAAUGCGCAGAUAUCGGGAAGAACACCCGUGGCGAAGGCGGGUUACUGGGCUGAUACUGACGCUGAUGCGCGAAAGCCAGGGGAGCAAACGGG